rnacentral:rRNA from 1 species
CCUACGGGUGGCAGCAGUCGAGAAUCAUUCACAAUGGGGGAAACCCUGAUGGUGCGACGCCGCGUGGGGGAAUGAAGGUCUUCGGAUUGUAAACCCCUGUCAUGUGGGAGCAAAUGACAAAGCUAGUACCACAACAGGAAUAGACGGCUAACUCUGUGCCAGUAGCCGCGGUCAUUCAGAGGGCUCAAGCGUUGUUCGGGAUCAGUGGGCGUAAAGGGUGGGUAGGCUGUUUCGUAAGUAGAGUGUGAAAGGCGCGGGGUCAACCCGCGGACGGCACUUGAUACUGGUCGACUAGAGUAAGUGAGGAGGAUGCGGAAUGCUCGGUGUAGCGGUGAAAUGCGUAGAUAUCGAGAAGAACUCUGGUGGCGAAGGCAGGUUCCUGGAGAUUAACUGACGCUGAGGCACGAAGGUGAGGGGAGCGAAAGGGAUUAGAUACCCUAGUAGUC